rnacentral:rRNA from 1 species
AGAGUUUGAUCAUGGCUCAGGACGAACGCUGGCGGCGUGCCUAACACAUGCAAGUCGAGCGAUGAAACCCUUCGGGGUGGAUUAGCGGCGGACGGGUGAGUAACACGUGGGUAACCUGCCUUAUAGAGGGGGAUAGCCUUCCGAAAGGAAGAUUAAUACCGCAUGAAAUGUUUUUAUCGCAUGGUAGAAACAUCAAAGGAGUAAUCCGCUAUAAGAUGGACCCGCGGCGCAUUAGCUAGUUGGUGAGGUAACGGCCCACCAAGGCGACGAUGCGUAGCCGACCUGAGAGGGUGAUCGGCCACAUUGGAACUGAGACACGGUCCAGACUCCUACGGGAGGCAGCAGUGGGGAAUAUUGCGCAAUGGGGGAAACCCUGACGCAGCAACGCCGCGUGAAUGAAGAAGGCCUUAGGGNUUGUAAAGUUCUGUUUUCUGGGACGAUAAUGACGGUACCAGAGGAGGAAGCCACGGCUAACUACGUGCCAGCA